AUGUUUUCAACAUCGAGCAGCUUGGUCUUGGCAAAAGACGAAAGUAUACACAAACCGUAUGAAUGUCAUCUCUGCAAGAGAAGGUUCUCCCAAAAAGGUAACUUAGCAACGCAUAAAAUAACGCAUACUGCAGAUAAACCUUUUGAAUGUGAUGUUUGCAACAAGAGAUUUUCUCAGUCAAGUGAUUUGAGAAGACAUAACAGAACCCACACUGCGAGCAAACCUUAUAAAUGUGAUGUUUGUUACAAGACAUUUUCCGUAUUAGUCACCUUAAAAACACAUAAAAGAGUACACACUGGAGACAAACCUUAUGAAUGUGAUGUUUGCAAG